AUUAAGUUCACUAAUCUUUCAAUGGAUUGAGAAAAACAUGGCAAUUUGGAGUCAUGCUCCAAAUUUAGAUAGUUUGUGCAUGCUUUAGCCAUCUGCAUGGUCUGCAAAACACUAGAAAGCUUGGGCAUGCACUGCAGAAUUUGAAGAUGAAGCUUCUGAGAAGUUCUAUCAAUGAGUCUGAGGGCUUUGGCUAAUGUGUGGCAAACUGGCAAGUCACAGAAAGGCAAUGAACUCGAUUCUUCGAGUUUU
rnacentral:sRNA from 1 species